UGGGAACGCGAAGAACCUUACCAGGGCUUGACAUCCUACUAAUGAAGCAGAGAUGCAUUAAGUGCCCUUCGGGGAAAGUAGAGACAGGUGGUGCAUGGUUGUCGUCAGCUCGUGUCGUGAGAUGUUGGGUUAAGUCCCGCAACGAGCGCAACCCCUACUUGUUAGUUGUCUACGCAAGAAGCACUCUAGCGAGACUGCCGUUCGACAAAACGGAAGGAGGUAGGGGCGACGUCAAAUCAUCAUGCCCCUUACUGUCCUGGGCCACACACGUAAUACAAUGGCGUUAAACAGAGGAUGCUAAGCCGUGAGGUGGAGCGAACCCCUAAAACGGACGUCUCAGUUCGGAUUGCAGGCUGCAACUCGCCUGCAUGAAGUCGGAAUCGCUAGUAAUCGCGGAUCAGAAUGCCGC
rnacentral:rRNA from 1 species